AUACGGAGGAUGCGAGCGUUAUCCGGAUUUAUUGGGUUUAAAGGGUGCGUAGGUGGUAGAUUAAGUCAGCGGUGAAAGUUUGUCGCUCAACGAUAAAAUUGCCGUUGAUACUGGUUUACUUGAGUAUAGUUGAAGUAGGCGGAGUGCGUGGUGUAGCGGUGAAAUGCAUAGAUAUCACGCAGAACUCCGAUUGCGAAGGCAGUAUACUAAAAUAUAACAGUCACUUACGCACGUAAGCGUGUGUAUAAAACAGGAUUAGAUAACGUGGUAGUGCACACCGUAAACGAUGAAUACUAGCUUUUAGCGAUAGCCAGUAAGCGCCAUAGUGAAAGCGUUACGUAAUCCCGCUUGCGAGUACGGCGUCACCGGGGAUACUCACAGGACUUCGUGGGG
rnacentral:rRNA from 1 species